UGCUAGAUAAUAUUGAAAGACCCCCCGCGGGGAGACCCUUACUCAAGUCUUGGGAAGGCGCGCACCCAGUGAGACGCUGAGACCA
rnacentral:pre_miRNA from 7 species